rnacentral:ncRNA from 1 species
UCCUACCAGUCGUCAUGAACUAAUUCAGAUUGUGAAACUGUGAAUGACUUAAAUAAGUUAUAGUUUGUUUAUUGGUAUCUGCUACUCGGAUAACAGCAAUAAUUCUAAAGCUAAUAUGUGCAACAAAACUUGACUUCUGAAAGGGAUACAUAUAAUAGAUAAAAUGUCGAUGCGGGCUCUGUCCAUUGCUAUAGUGACUCAUGAUAACUUGACGGAUCAUAUGGCCUACUAUGGUGGUGAUGAGAGAGACAAUUAGGGUUCGAUUUUAGAGAGGAGGCCUGAGAAAUAGCUACCAUAUCUAAGGAAGGUAGCAGACAUGCAAAUUAUCCAGUCAAGGGAGGUAGUGACAAUAAAUAACAAUAGCGGACUCUUUUGAGUCCAGUAACUAGAAUUACUACAAUCUAAAUCCCUUGACGAGGAUCCAUUUGAGGGCUAGUCUAGUGGCAACUGUCACCCCCCCCCNNN